GACGAACGCUGGCGGCGUGCUUAACACAUGCAAGUCGAACGAAGUGGCGAACGGGUGAGUAACGCGUAAUCAACUUGCCCUUCAGAGGGGGACAACAGUUGGAAACGACUGCUAAUACCGCAUACUGAAGGAGGGGAUUGCGUCUGAUUGGCUAGUUGGAGGGGUAACGGCCCACAAAGGCGAUGAUCGGUAGGCGGUCUGGAGGGAAGAACGGCCAAAUUGGGAAUGGGACAAGGGCCAGACUCCUACGGGAAGCAGCAGUUGGGAAUCUUCGGCAAUGGACGAAAGUCUGACGGAGCAACGCCGGGUGAGUGAUGACGGCCUUCGGGUUGUAAAGCUCUGUUAAGCGGGACGCGGUACCGGAAUAGAAAGCCACGGCUAACUACGUGCCAGCAGCCGCGGUAAUUC
rnacentral:rRNA from 1 species